GCUAAGAAUCUUCCGCAAUGGGCGAAAGCCUGACGGAGCGACGCCGCGUGAACGAAGAAGGCCGUGAGGUUGUAAAGUUCUUUUCGGGAGGGGGAACAACCGUGGCAGGGAAUGGCCGCGGGAUGACGUGAAUCCCGGAAUAAGCCCCGGCUAACUACGUGCCAGCAGCCGCGGUAACACGUAGGGGGCGAGCGUUGUUCGGAAUCAUUGGGCGUAAAGGGCGUGCAGGCGGGCCUGCAAGUCCGGCGUGAAAGACCCCGGCCCAACCGGGGGGACGCGCUGGAAACUGCAGGGCUUGAGUACAGGAGGGGAUGCCGGAAUUCCAGGUGUAGGGGUGAAAUCUGUAGAUAUCUGGAAGAACACCAAUGGCGAAGGCAGGCAUCUGGCCAUGUACUGACGCUGAGACGCGAAGGUGCGGGGAGCAAACAGGUUUAGAUACCCGAGUAGUCC
rnacentral:rRNA from 1 species